rnacentral:rRNA from 1 species
UACGGAGGGGGCUAGCGUUGUUCGGAAUUACUGGGCGUAAAGCGCACGUAGGCGGCUUUGCAAGUUAGAGGUGAAAGCCCGGGGCUCAACUCCGGAAUUGCCUUUAAAACUGCAUCGCUAGAAUUGUGGAGAGGUAAGUGGAAUUCCGAGUGUAGAGGUGAAAUUCGUAGAUAUUCGGAAGAACACCAGUGGCGAAGGCGACACACUGGCCCGAUACUGACGCUGAGGCGCGAAAGCGUGGGGAGCAAACAGG